rnacentral:rRNA from 1 species
GCGCACCAUGAGCCAGUGGCCACAGUCAGACGUCGUGGGCGAGCGUUGUUGCGCUGGACUGGCGCGAAAGGGCGCCGAGGCGUCGAAGUAGGUCGUAGGGUAACGCCCUCGGCUCGACCGAGGAACUGUGCCCGAUACUGCUGUGCUUUGGGGCCGGAGGGGAUAGUGGAAUUCCCGGGGGAGCGGUGAAAUGCGUAGAGAUCGGGAAGAACGCCGGCGGCGAAAGCGACUCUCUGGUCGGUACCUGACGCUGAGGCGCGAAAGCUAGGGGAGCAAACGGGAUUAGAUACCCCAGUAGUC